UAAAAGAAGCGCCAGAACUCUUUUUUUGAGUUGACGAGGAUUGAAAUUAUCGAAAUUUUCGGCGGAUAUUUCAAAGGUGGUUACAACCAUUAUUAACAAAAAUACAGAGUGAUCUGUAUAACAAAGAAAUAAU
rnacentral:ncRNA from 1 species